rnacentral:misc_RNA from 1 species
UUUUUGUUGAGUUUUUUUUUUGUGAAUGUAAUUGUUUUUCGACGCUCGUUAAGUAUUUGUAGUCAGUCACAUUAUGGCAAAAGAAAUGUUUUCAUUUUAUUUUAAUUCAAAAGAGAAAUCUUUAAGAUAUUAAAGUAACGAAAAUAGACAAGAAACGUUCCUAGUAUAAAGGCAUACAUUUUAAAUGAAUGAGGGUAGUUUUGAAUAGCGGAAAAGGAGACUAAAUUGGUCGCGUGCAACGGACGUAACUGGACCAUUUCCAUACAUUUUUAACGCAAUGCAUUUAUUUUCGAAUAAGAUAUUUGAUUUAAAAGUGACUCGGAGGUAUAAUUUAGCUGGAAUAUAUCUACUUAAGAUUUAUUAGAAACUAAUCUCCU